rnacentral:rRNA from 1 species
UGCAGAGAUGCGGGAGUGCUCGAAGAGAGCCUGGACACAGGUGCUGCAUGGCCGUCGUCAGCUCGUGUCGUGAGAUGUUGGGUUAAGUCCCGCAACGAGCGCAACCCUUGUCAUUAGUUGCUACGAAAGGGCACUCUAAUGAGACUGCCGGUGACAAACCGGAGGAAGGUGGGGAUGACGUCAGGUCCUCAUGGCCCUUAUGGGUAGGGCUACACACGUCAUACAAUGGCCGGUACAGAGGGCUGCCAACCCGCGAGGGGGAGCCAAUCCCAGAAAACCGGUCGUAGUCCGGAUCGCAGUCUGCAACUCGACUGCGUGAAGUCGGAAUCGCUAGUAAUCGCGGAUCAGCAUGUCGCGGUGAAUACGUUCCCGGGUCUUGUACACACCGCCCGUCACACCAUGGGAGCGGGUUCUGCCAGAAGUGGGUAGCCUAACCGAAAGGAGGGCGCUUACCACGGCAGGGUUCGUGACUGGGGUGAAGUCGUAACAAGGUAAGCGUACGUGU